UACGGAGGAUCCGAGCGUUAUCCGGAUUUAUUGGGUUUAAAGGGUGCGCAGGCGGGGGAUUAAGUCGGCGGUGAAAUUUUGCAGCUCAACUGUAAAAGUGCCUUCGAAACUGGUUUCCUUGAGUGUAGAUGAAGUAGGCGGAAUUUGUGGUGUAGCGGUGAAAUGCAUAGAUAUCACUAGGAACUCCGAUUGCGCAGGCGGCUUACUAAACUACUACUGACGCUCAGGCACGAAGGCGUGGGGAUCAAACAGGAUUAGAUACCCUGGUAGUCCCU
rnacentral:rRNA from 1 species